AAAAAAAUGUGUUGUGUGUUCCUGUGUAUUUAGAAUAAAGGCAUUUUAAAGACAUCUGCAAGAAAAAAUUAAAUCUGUUGAGCAUAAAACGGAGUAGGCCGCAUUUUAAAAUGUAAUAGAAUCGUAUGAUAAUCAUGAUGGUGCCCUAAAGCAAAUUCCAACGGUCUCAAAUAAAUAUAAAUAUAUAUUUUUUUCAAUCAGCUGGCUUGUCAUUGGCAGUGGGAUAAUGUUAAACACUUGAAAUACCCUUUUUAUCAUUGCCCAAAAUGCUAAAUGCUAGCCCCUAAAAAUGUUAAUUCCAUGUACAAAAAAACAGAUGACUUCAUUUUUUACCAAAUGUAAAGGAUUCCUUUGUUUUUGCACUUGCUGUUGCCAUUUGUUUUGGUGCAACUAGUACCCCUGCCAGUUUAGUUGAAUACUCUGUUUCUGUCUUCAUGUAUUUAUCUAUAUAUAUAUAUAUAUAUAUCAUGCACAGUAAAUAUAUUAUGCAAAAAUGCUCAUGCUGCUAUAAGCAGUUGAAUUUUAGCAGCAAUAAAAAAAAUUGCUUUUUAUACUUUGAUUUUGGAAUUUUUCCAAGGCUGACAGUGUAUAUAUAGUAAACAGACAUUUCCAACGUCAUUUUUAGAAACAAUUUGAAUGAAUCCUGUGUAGGCCAAGGGUUUAACAUAGGAAAAUAUACAUUUGUUUGUGUUUUCAUUGGGUAAGCCUAGACUAAAAAUAAAGAAAGGGUUAAUUCAGUGGUGAUUUACUUGCAUGCUGGGAAGCUGGAAGCGCUAGGAAUGUUGGGAUUUUAUUGCUGUGAUAUCUCCUCCUCUCUUUCUUGUGAUGGCUGUUCAGCCAAAAGCUCUGCUCUUUUGUUACGGCUAUCUCCUUUUUUUCCCCAGAAUUGUGAGAAUUCCUUUACAUUGUUGCAGGUUCUUUAUUCCAUUGUGUUUUUUGUUUUUCUUUUCGAUUGACCGUUGGAAGUCUAAAAGAAAAAAGGCCAAGCUGGAAACAUAACAAGUCAUUCUGAAACGCUGCAUGCUUUGGAAAUUCUGGGGAAAUCUGUUGUUAUGCGUCACUCUUCUACAGGCACAUUUUUCUUUUCUAUUUUGUGAAUAGAAGCUGUGAAGUCUAGCCUAUCAGACACAAAGGGGAUCUCUUGGAUGUGUCUUCCCAGAAGGUGUUGGGUUCAAAAAAAAUACUAUAAUAAAAAAAAAGAUCUUUAGAAAAAA